rnacentral:rRNA from 1 species
UACGUAGGGGGCGAGCGUUGUCCGGAUUCAUUGGGCGUAAAGAGCUCGUAGGCGGCUUGGCAAGUCGGGUGUGAAACCUCCAGGCUCAACCUGGAGACGCCACUCGAUACUGCCAUGGCUUGAGUCUGGUAGGGGAUCACGGAAUUCCUGGUGUAGCGGUGAAAUGCGCAGAUAUCAGGAGGAACACCGGUGGCGAAGGCGGUGAUCUGGGCCAGUACUGACGCUGAGGAGCGAAAGCGUGGGGAGCAAACAGG